rnacentral:rRNA from 1 species
CACGUAGGGCGCAAGCGUUUGUCCGGAAUUAUUGGGCGUAAAGAGCUCGUAGGCGGUCUGUUACGUCUGCUGUGAAAACCCUGGGCUUAACCCUGGGCUUGCAGUGGAUACGGGCAGACUAGAGGCAGGUAGGGGAGAAUGGAAUUCCCGGUGUAGCGGUGAAAUGCGCAGAUAUCGGGAGGAACACCGGUGGCGAAGGCGGUUCUCUGGGCCUGACCUGACGCUGAGGCGCGAAAGCUAGGGGAGCAAACGGG